GUUAUAAAUAAACAAAGUCGAUGUUAUUAAUUGAAAGAAGUUCUACCAUUGUUAUAUUCUUUAGUAAGAAAGGCUCUUUCUCACCCCAGGAUUAUUUUUCAAGUGAGUGACUAACUAAUGCGCAAAAGAACAUGUUGCCGGUAGUUGGAAGCAAUUUUAUAUCUUAAGCGCUUUGAAAUCGUUAGCGCAAGUGAAAAGAUGUUGAUGGCAACUUUCGUUAAGCAGUUAACAUCUGAUCUUGCGUGUGGAUGUGUGUGGUCUCGCAAAAUAUAAAUUAUGAUCAAAAGUGCAUUAAAUUUGAUCUUUUUGGCCAGUAAAUGGCAUAAAUUUGCGUGCUUACUCGAGGUGGUGCUGUUACUGUUAAGUUUAUAGCCUAAAUAGUAUUUUUGGAGCUUUAAUCAAACAUCAAACUCUCCAUAUGACGAAGAUAGGUGUUUGAUUAGAAAGAGUAUAUUUCCCCUACAAGGCAGAUGAGCAAAGAUAGAAAAUUCGAUGAAACUGGAUCGAUUUGGAUCAAACAGAGCUAUCUAAGCCCGAUCUCACGCACACUAGCUUGCCAUUUGUUUUUGCUGGCGGGUACAAAUUUUAACCUAAAAACCCUUCGUGUACAAACACGCAAUACAUGCGCAUGUAGAUAACUCUGAUAGAAACUCUGCAAAAUAUCAUAGAGUUAUCUACGUGCGCAUGUAUUGCGUGUACGUACACGAUGGAUUUCUAGGUUAAAAUUUGUACCCGCCAGCAAAAACAAAUGGUAAACUAGUGUGCGUGAGAUCGGGCUUAGAUAACUUGUAAUAACGAACUAGGGGGCAAUUACCACCACUAGUUCAUUAAUUAAAAAUUAAAUAAAAACCAGAACUUGAGACUCUUGGAGAUGAGAGAGAGAUGUAGAGAUCUGCAACUGCUCACAUUUGACGUGGGGAAGGAGAAUUGUACCUACCCUUUCACAAUCCUGGUUCGAUUCAGCUAAUCACACUGUCCUGGCAAAAAGAAUCACAAAAGAUCGUCGCUUUGGGUUAUGGAAAAGUCAUGUUUAUUGCAUUUAAUUGUCCUAAUUUAUUGUUUGUGUGUGUGUUCGUGUGUUCUAGUGUAUCCCGCGGUGGUCGAGUCAAGUCGGAGGUUCUUCCUCCGGCCAGGCCUGGCGCAGCAACGGUUUUGGUGUCUUUGGUUUUGUGUCUUUGUCUUGGAUAAAAAAAACCUGUACAGUGUUUAAGGCUUGUUUUAGUACUUGUGCUUUGUGUAACAGUGGUAACAAUGAACUCACCGGAUGGCCUUCGCCAUUGCGCUCUAACAAAUUCUCGGGUUGGCGCGCUCUGCCAACUUGGAGGUUCUGAGAAAGGAGUUCAUCUCUAAUAACUUGUUCUAGCUUUAACGUUUUGAUUUUGGAUAUUUACCACAUUUUUGUUACCUCCUUGCACCACCAACCAAACGACCACUGUUGACGUAGAGCGCGGUCCUUGACGGUUAGUUUGGAUGGUGCGGGUUGGGACCAACUCCCUGACACUACAAUUAACAAUUAAGACACUAAUUAGACACGACUCAAAAAUACAAGAACUAAAUUUACCAUUUCGCCGGCUACAGGAAUGCUGGGUACAAAUAACAGAUAUUCACAGCACUUUAAAUUACAAAACGUUCACAAUUUCUUCGUUUGACCAGAGUAUGUGUAACGGACUCUGGUCGGUAGCGGCAAAUGAGGACGAUUCAAAAUGACGAAGUCCCUUUUAUUAAUUUUAAGUCUUUGUUCUUGCGUAUUUCUAAAAUUGCUCAAAGAGAUGUGAGUCGUGCUAACCGUUUUAGGAAUAGGGAUACCAUGUUUUGUAUGUUGUUUAAGUGUAAUGGUUGAUUACAAUAUCCUAACUUGUCCCUACGGUUCAGUUUGACAGGAUGAUGCGAAGCAUUGUGACCAGAGAUUGUACUAUGUACAAGCGAUAGGUUACAAUUCCCCACCACCAGGGAAAAUGUGAGUUUUGCAGAAACUCCACAUUUUUCAAUCAUCAGUAGAAUCCCCUAGUUCUGGUAAAUUAUUUAGUUUUAUUGAUUAGUGGGCGCAUCUGUCAAAAAAUUCAAAGAACAACACGAAAUAAAUAACACAAAAAAUAAAUAAUAAAUAAAAUCUGUAAAGUGUAUAUGAAAAAAUUGUAAAUAAAAAAUCUGAAUAAAUAAAAAUUUCAAAAGUCAGCUUGUCAGAAUUGUUCAAAUUGGUCAGAAAUUAAUGUUGUCAAUUAUCACAGAAUUAUCACAGGGAAAUUUAUCAUUGGCUUAAAUUUGAGCCAUUUAUUUGUCACCCUUUAAAUUUUCAAUGAAUCAGAAGUGUUUGAUUUACAAACGAUACACUCAGUUGAAAAACAAAAGUAGGGUAAACAAACAAAAAUAAUCACAAGUAGUCUCAUCACAACCUCAA